GCACCUCGCCGGGGCCCUGCCCUGUCCCGCCGCGUCGCGGCUUCUCCGCACCCCACGUCUCGGGAGCCGACCGGGAGACUCUCACGGCAGAGUUCCACAGACCUCGUUAGGUUAAAGGAACCUCGCCUUGCCCCCCACUAAUCGGCUAGAGAGGGAGGCCGGCGAAACAAAAGCCGUAGAGGAAAAUUAAGCGACUUCCCCCUCGGCGGGGAACUUGGAGGUCGGGGAAGGUGUGAUUAUGAAAAUAAACAAGGGAAGUGAGGGAAAUAUAACCAAGUGGAUAAAGGAAAUGGAGUGCAAAUUGAGAACAUAAUCCAGAAUUUGUGAAAGUGGUAUGGAUAAAGAAGGUCAAAAUGGUCUCUGAUGAAAAGAAACUUUUAAAAUGCUUGGAAAAGUUAAUGAAUUAGAUUUCCCUGAACUUGAAGAUAUUAGGAUUGGGAGAUCAAGACUCCCAUCAGCCAAAUCAAGAAUAUUCACAAUUGACAGGAAAACUCAAAGUUUCUUUUUCCCCACCAGAGAAAUGUCUCCCACCGCCAUAGCUAAACAGUGCAGAUUUUGAAGACGAAAACUCUAGAGCAGAAAAGAGGAGGGAGCCUGCAGCAGAGACGGGGGUCUUGUGUGGGGAAUGAUCACUUCAGCCACUGUGAAGUCAGGUGGGCUGAGCGAUGUGCAGCCAGGCACAGGAUGUACGCAUGAGAAACAUCUUCCCUAAGUUCACUUGUCCUCUUGGGCCAAGGAUGCUGAUGUUCCACAUGUCUAUGGAGCUUGCCUUUUACCCUCAGAGCCAGAGACCAUUUUUAAGGAUGACGCAUAUUUGGCUAUAUAGGUCAAGAAUUCAGCACUAUAGGAAUCCCAGCUACUCUGGAGGCCGAGGCAGGAGAAUCGCUUGAACCCGGGAGGUGGAGGUUGCAAUGAGCUGAGAUCGCACCACUGCACUGCAGCGUGAGAGACACAGCAAGACUCCAUCUCAAAAAAUAAAUAGAUAAAUUAAACUAAGCUACCAACUUUUGGAAAGGA